UACGUAGGGUGCGAGCGUUGUCCGGAAUUAUUGGGCGUAAAGGGCUCGUAGGCGGUCUGUCGCGUCGGCUGUGAAAACCCGGAGCUCAACUCCGGGCCUGCAGUCGAUACGGGCAAACUGGAGUGUUGCAGGGGAGACUGGAAUUCCUAGUGUAGAGGUGAAAUUCGUAGAUAUUAGGAGGAACACCAGUGGCGUAAGCGGCUAACUAGACGAGUACUGACGCUCAAGCACGAAAGCGUGGGGAUCAAACAGG
rnacentral:rRNA from 1 species